rnacentral:rRNA from 1 species
UACGUAGGUGGCAAACGUUGUCCGGAUUUAUUGGGUUUAAAGGGUGCGUAGGCGGUUUUCUAAGUCAGCAGUGAAAUACGGCAGCUCAACUGUCGAGGUGCUGUUGAUACUGGGGAACUUGAGUACUGAUGAGGUAGGCGGAAUGGACGGUGUAGCGGUGAAAUGCUUAGAGAUCGUCCAGAACACCGAUAGCGAAGGCAGCUUACUAAGGAGUAACUGACGCUGAGGCACGAAAGUGUGGGGAUCAAACAGG